CACCACACUCUUCCGCUUCAGCUGUCUUUUUUGCCUCAUGGCUAUACCCACACUGACCACUCCUUCAAUGAAGACAGUAAUGAGAUCAUCUGCACACUCCACAGAGCUCCAGAGUUACUGUUCAUAGCAAAAGUGUAAUGCUGUCCUUGGAGAUUUUCACCUAAGACUGUGAGUGUGAGUGUGUAAUGGAUUUCAAAGUGUUUAAGUGUUCAGAGCACUCUACAGCCUGGUAAGGUGGCAAGUUUGAAAAGAGCAGCAGAAGGUAUCAGUACUGUAGUGUAACUUGUUCUUUUCCUUUCCUAACAGUGAACAGAGUGCCGAUUAUUAUCGACAGCUACGUCCACCCGGGGUGAAAGUAGUGUGGGAGACCAUCAGGACCCAGCUGGGUUUCCUUGGUCCAGAGGUUUGGAGAAACCUCUUCCUUUUCUUUCAUCACAGCUGUCCUGUGCCAGAUGUUCUGUUGACCCACUGAGAGAGGCGUGUUUGAGAAAGAUCAGGAAGACUGAAGCUCAUGGUAGGAAUGAAGGAGGACCUUGUGAGCUCCACCAGCAGCUCCCUCACAAGGAACUGUUCACAAGUCCACUGCAGGCACGCCCCAGAAGAUGGAUAAAGGCAGCGUUUCAUGAAGACACUGGAACCAAUCUAUCUUCAUAACAGCAGGAUAAAGACAUGGUGAUAAAUGAGUGUGUGGGCCGUCUGCUGAGGACCAGGAGCUCAGGACACUCAGACGGGG